rnacentral:rRNA from 1 species
UAGCGGAGCGUGUGGUUUAAUUCGAGGCUACGCGAAGAACCUUACCUGGGUUUGACAUCAUGGUAGUACGGAAGCGAAAGCGGAAGGACCCUUCGGGGAGCCAUGACAGGUGCUGCAUGGUUGUCGUCAGCUCGUGCCGUGAGGUGUUCGGUUAAGUCCGCAAACGAGCGCAACCCUCGGUGCUAGUUAUACGUGUCUAGCGCGACUGCCCGUGACAAACGGGAGGAAGGUGGGGAUGACGUCAAAUCAGCAUGGCCUUUAUAUCCAGGGCUACACACACGCUACAAUGGUCGGUACAAUGGGUCGCGAAGCCGUGAGGUGGAGCCAAUCCUCCAAAGCCGAUCUCAGUUCGGAUUGUAGGCUGCAACUCGCCUGCAUGAAGUCGGAGUUGCUAGUAACCGCGA